rnacentral:misc_RNA from 1 species
AUGGUUUCCGUGGCGAUUCCUAUCUCCAGUCUCCAGCUUCACUAGAGUUGACAUAAUACCAAAACCCCAAUCAGGAUCAUCAAACAUCACAAGAAAAUCAUUGAAAGAUACCAUUGAAGAAUCUGUUUCUCCAUGAACUUCUAACAUUUCACUAACUCCAUGAGAAGGAAUGUAAAUAGCCCUCAGCAACUUUAUAUAGCCAACGGCAUCAACUUUUCUAAUCUGAGAACCUCCCUCAUUCACAGGACGCCACAAAAGUGCAUCAAAAGCA